CCACUCGCUGGGGAGCCCCUGAGAGGCCAGCGCCCUGGCGCAACGAAUCACUAAGCCAUAUGGGAAAGAUGACCCUGUGAUCACCUCCCUCCAAAAUGGAACCAUCAAUCGCAAAGCACUUAAAUUCAGAGGACCACACCCUCUCUGAUACAGCAUAGUGGUUACUGCAGUAGAGAUGUCAUAUGAACAUUUUAAAAAGAAAGAGAAAGCUUCUAGAUAUAGAGAGGUGACACCUUAACAUCACAUGACAACAGCCUGGAAGACAAUACCUGACAUCACUCAGCAACAGCAAACAUAACACUUCUGGAUAUUCCAUCCUCAUUGUUCUGUAACUGCCACUUUGGCUACAGCAUCCUUUGAGUCACAUCAGGUAGGCAUUUUGCUAAGAGAAUUUAGUAACCCUGUUUCAUUAGUCACUGUAAUAAAUAUAUGAUUUUGGUGAUUUAACCAUAGCUUACCAGGGCAAACUCAUCUAAAGUGCUGUAUGAUGCUUUAAAAUGUGUAUGUACCUCGCUUAAUCUCAUGUUGGCCUCACAACAAAUGUAAAGGAUAUGACAGACUGAGCCCUGGCACAAUAUUUGUCACAGUCCCAUGGGGGGGGGGUCCCCAAGGGUCCCAAAAUUGCGGUACCGUAUUUUUUGCUCUAUGAGACUAAUUUUUUGCCUCCUAAAAAGUAAGGGGAAAGUGUGUGUGUCUUAUGGAGUGAAUGCAGGCUGAGCAGGUAUCCCAGAAGCCAGAACAGCAAGAGGCAUUGCUGCUUUCACUGCGCAGUGAUCCCUCUUGCUGUUCUGGCUUCUGAGAUUCAGAAUUUCUUUUUCUUCUUAUUUUCCUCCUCCAAAAACUAGGUGCGUCUUGUGGUCUGGUGCAUCUUAUAGAGCAAAAAAUAUGGUAAUUGAACUCCUGGAUGUGGCUGCUAAUAGGGAAUUUAUGAUAACCUGUCACUUUAAGAACCUGCUGAGAAAGCUUUAUGACACUGCUGAAAAAGCAUUUCGCUCUGCAAGAUUGCUGCCCCAUCCCAUAGGGCAGAGAAUAGCUAACACGCUUAUCGUAAGGACACAAGCUAUACACGCAGGUUCACAAAGCACAAUUGUUUUGCGUAACACAAUGUAUUCAUGUGAAGGCCAUACAGACACGGUGGGAAUCAAAGCCAUGUCAGCAAAACAGCCGAUGCUUAUGCUAAGCUUGUGCAAGCAUACUAACAUGAAAUGUAUCCAGUCUGAAGGCUGCUGUCCUAACCCCUCUUACUUGGGAGUAAAGCCUCAGUGAAUUCAGUAAGACUUAACUUCUGGUAAGUUUCUCUAGUACUAAAGAUAUACCCACAUAAGCUCUCAGAAGACAACACAAGAAAUGGCUUACCAUCAUAAUUAAUUCACCCACUUAUCCCAGCCUCCACAUUUUGCAACUAUCUUCUAGAAAAGCAAAUCUAGUCCAUCAUACCAUAUUACUGGGGCAACAUAUUACUUCGUGCAGCCACCAGAAAGGAAGAUCUUGAGUCCUGAAACCAGUUCUGAGCAACCCAUGGCACACAAGGUUCAUGCAGCCUCCAUUCUCCCUCUGUGAGCACCCACAUCCCCCUGUACUUAUUUCAUUGCCCCACCAGCACUGGAGAAGGGAAACAGCUGGCAGGCGCACAAGGGCAUUCGUGACAAAACCACAAAUGCUCUUGUUUCAUCAAAGAUGAUAAAGGACUGUAAAAAGGGAUCACAGAAAACAAUUCAAUUCUAAAUUAAAGUUCAAGCCGUUUGGAAUAACUGUAUCUAGGCGGGAGAUCCACUUUGACUCUAAUUGUAAUAAUAUCUUUUUUGAAUAUGUGUUAUGGGGUCUCAACCUAUUUUUCUGUAGCUUUUGAAAUCCGCCAGUUGUCUCCUAAUUUCUCUCAUGUAAUCAUUGGCACCCAUUAUUACUACAGCUCCCCCUUUAAUGUAAAGUUAAAAUGAACCAUCAUGCUGUUGUUUCCUUAUCAGGGUAUUAUAAAAGUCAACGUAUACCAAAAGGUUUGCGAAUACAAAAAGCUCCAACCUUGUUUCAGCACUGAGGAAUUUAAACAAAAAUGGAUUGUUACACGGACAAAACCACAAAGCAUGGGGGCUAGAGUGGCCCUUUGAAAACACAUUCUAGGCACUGCAAUUGCUGGUGGUGAACACGCAGCACAUGGGCGCCAUCUGGUGGGGCGAGGGCCCCCAGAAAUUUUGAUGGAGGGAACCGGGCCCCCUCAAUAUGUGCCAUGCACACACCAUGCUACGUGCUGAUGUCACUCGUGCAAGCAGCAUGGCAUGCGGGUGGCAUGUCAGCACAAUGUACAGCAUGUACAAGUGACAUCAGCACCACACCGUGUGCUCGCAUGACAUGAGCAUGUCACACAGCAUGCGUGCAUGGCAAGGGCAUGGCACACAGUGCCGGCCCUCUGAAUUGUGGGAUCAAGCCAGCGCGCUUGACGCAGCAGUUUGCCUGCCUGCUUACUCUUCCAUCAAUUAUCAGGAUAGAAAAUACUAUCAUAAUCAUUAAACAUUUCAGUUCUUUAAUUGGUGAACGUAUUCAAAUUCUCUGACAAUUUGUAGCAUUGCCCUUUAAGGUUGUCUGCCUAUUAAAUGCUUGUUUGUAUGUUUCCGUACAGGAACACAGUUAAAGGAGGAGAGAAAGAGAGAAUUUGACUAUUUAAAUCUUAAGCUAUCCUUUGGUUCAUAGUAAUGGCCGUUCAGUGAAAACAUAUUCUCUCUUCGAAAAGUAGGAACUGCCACCAUUAAUAUCAUUAAGUAUCCAAAGUUUCUAUUAAAUGUUCCACUUAAUUUCAAACAAACUUUUUAAUUGAGUAAUUUGAAUGCUUUAGUCUUGUUGGCAUCUUUGUUUUGUUUUUGGAAGGCACCAUGUACACUAAUGGUGGUGUAUAAAUACUUAAUUAUAAAAGAAAUCCAGCCCACAAGGCAAUUUAAGAUGCAACAUUCCAUUACUUUUCCUUUGGCAAAUAUUGUUACGGAAAGCUUAAUUAUACUUCAGGGGUAUGUCCUUUGGGUUAUUUCCUUAUAAAGAGGCUAGUUCAUUAUUAAAACACACAUACAUACCCCAAUACAUUUUUUGAAUCUGUAGAUAAAGAAGCAACUGAAGUUUAAGUUGGGCUUUUUUCUUUUCUUUUUAGCUUAUCCUGCUGUAAAACACAAUCAGAAUUUUUUGUUCCACUGACUGCACACCAAAAUUGAUUAGAAAACUAUAUGACCAAAAAUUCAGAUUAGGUUCCACAAAUACAAAGGCUAUUUCAUUAAUGCAUUUCAUCUCUCACUUUGGGAACUAAUGUGGUAAUUUAGAAAAUGCCAUUUUUUUGUCCUUCAGCAGAUGAUUGCAGGCAAUCAACAUGCUGUCUGUCUUGUAUACUGCCAUUUUUAAUAUAUCUUCCUACAGCAAGCAAGGAAAACGUCCUUGAAUUUCUUAGUGAAACGGCAAGAUGUUUAUCAGAUUUAUUCGUUAACGUCAGUUUCCACAGUCUCAGUCUGCUGCAGAGCUUCAAACUAUACAAUCACCCAUUAACGAUAAAGAAGCGUAGCUAGAUACACACAGAAAGUAUUGAACGGAUGACCUUUGGGUAUUAAACAGAAACACUUUGAAAGGCAAAGGAUGGUACAUUGCAAGACCCUUCUGCUCAGUAAAGCACAACACUGUAAACAGAGAGAGUUGGAGAUCAUCAUAAGGACGGGCUUCAGUUAUGUUCUCCCAUACGCCUCUCAUCGUCCUUUGGCUUCUUCAAUCUAGUUAUUUCCUCAGCUUCUGACCUAACUGCUUCACUUUAUUAUCACAGCGGGCCUUGAAAAGCAGAGUUGCUAUGGCUUCCUUGAUUUCCAUUGGCUUAAUUCCUCUGAGGUCACAGCAGGACUGGAAAUUGUAGACGAAAGUAACUGAUGUUUAGAAGCACUUGGGUAUACAUACAAGCUACACCUUAUAUGCACCUGCAAAUCAUGUCGUUGGCCCUUAUCCCAUUCAUUCCAAUAGGACCUAGACAGUAGCAGCCCAUGAGGUGGGGCAAAGCUGCGGAACUACUCUUCAGCAUUGCUGAAGUUUACAGUACUGGGAUGAGGACAGGAUAUAUCGUGACAGCAGAUAGGUUGAGACUGCACAACACACUGGUGGAAGCAGUGGAUUGGCUCUGCCAGUGCAGCUGUGCAGCCCCACUAUAGCCCCCCACACACUCCAGGGAAACUGCAGCAAUGCCAGCAUCGAGAGGAUGGCUCAAGCCCAUCACACAGGCCAUUGCUGCUCUGGCUUUGCUUCCUUGAAAAGAAGGCCACUGAUAAUAAACCUGCCAAUAAAAUAAUGAAAUGGUCCACAUCAUUUAAACAAACCUGUGGUGUGGGCCUGGAAUACUGUGCAUAGCUCGGAAAAUGAUAUUUUAGAGGUGGGAAAGAUGCAGAAAAAUGGCAGCCAAAAUGGUCAGGAAGCUAAAGAAAUUCCCUGCAAGGUUUAUUGUAUUGUGGUUAUGAUAUAAAAGAGUGAAGUUAGGGUGCAGCAAAGAGAUGGAACAAAAACACCACAGAAAAUGGGAUGGGAAGUCGAUAAAACAAAAGAAAAAUGCAUUACCUAUUGGAAUUUUUAUGUGAAAUUUGGGAGAAUUUAGUAUUUAUUUAUUUAUUUAUUUAUUUAUUUAUUUAUUUAAAAAAGCAAUUCCCAACAGGGAAAGGUUACAACGUCUAGGGCUUCUUACUUUUAGAAGAAGAAGAAAGGCAAGUUAAGAGGAACAUGGGCAAGGUUUAUAAAAUUAUGUAAAUGUGGAGAAACUGGAUAAAGAGAUGUUUUUCUCCCUCUCAUAUAAAGCUAGAAGCCAGGGCCAUCCUAUGAAGCUUAUUGGUAGGACAUUCAGAAUAGACAAAAAUGAGUAUUUAGUGCAUGAAACUUGCUGCCACAAGAUGUAGUGAUGGCCACUACCUCAGGUGGAGAGGUAAAAAAGCAGACUAGACAAAUCCAUCAAAGAUCAUUAGUCACAGUGGCUGAAUGCCACAUCCAGGGUUAUAGGUAGCAUGCCUCUGAAUACUAGUUGGAGGGGAACAGUAUGGGAGGGCUGUUGCCCUCAGGUUAUUCAUGUGGGCUUCUCAGAUGCAUUCAGUAGGAAACAGAUCACUGAAUUCUAUAGGAGAUUGGUCUGAUCCAACAGGGUUGAUCUUCUGUUACGCUCUUAACACAAAAUGUCCAAACUAUGCAUUCCGAUAGGAGGAACUAUAUAAAUCACAAUGGCAAGUACAAACACCUCUCUCUCUCUCUCUCUCUCUCUCUCUCUCUCUCUGUGUGUGUGUGUGUGUGUUUCCAAAUGAAACUAACUCUCUCUCCCUCUUUGGCUUAGAAGCUCCCAGAUCAUAACAUGGCUCGUGGUGAGACACACUGCAGUGCUCGCGACAAGCUGACAACUCUGCAGCAGAAAUCAGUCAUGCCUGAAGUAAACAGGGCAGAGCCAGACAUAGUGAUGACAACACAGGGACUGGUCAGUCCCCAGCCAUGCACCCAAGCUAUGUAGAGAUACCUCUACUCUCAGAGAAAGCACACUUUACUGAGGCCUUUAUUCUACCUACUACCAAGUGGGACGCGGGUGGCGCUGUGGGUUAAACCAUAGAGCCCAGGUCUUGCUGAUCAGAAGGUCAGUGGUUCGAAUCCCCGUGAUGGGGUGAGCUCCCAUUGCUUGGUCCCUGCUCUUGCAAACCUAGCAGUUCGAAAGCAUGUCAAAGUGCAAGUAGAUAAAUAGGUACCGCUCCGGCAGGAAGGUAAACGGCGUUUCCAUGCGCUGCUCUGGCCCGCCAGAAGUGGCUUAAUCAUGCUGGCCACAUGACCCAGAAGCUGUAUGCCGGCUCCCUCGGCCAAUAAAGCGAGAUGAGCACCGCAAGCCCAGAGUCGGCCAUGACUGGGCCUAAUGGUCAGGGGUCCCUUUACCUUUACCAGGUGUAGCUCUGCUCUUCUUCCUCUUAUCAUAGGGCUCACCCAGACUUCCCUUUGUGCUAUGUUUCUAGGCACAGGUUUGGGCUUUAAUGCUCUGUGUCUGAGCAGGGUUUAUUUUGUCCUGGUGCUUUCUCCAGAAAACCCCACAUUUUACCCAUGCCUGGUAAGCAUGGCGCAAAAGGACAUAUGGAUGAGCCCUUAUGUGCCUGCUGGAUUGAGACUGAGGCAUUCCCAUUGCCCAAUGCUAGUGCUGUCAAAAUUAGACACAUUAAUACUGGAAACAUCACAAGAGCCUGACCAUAUAUAUUAAUGUGGCCAUGAGGGAUUUGAGAAAAUUUACAGAAGGAAUUACCUAAAGAUUACUGAGAAAGAGAUGCCUCAUAGAUCUCAAAACGCAGACUGAUAAUCCCAGAAUUCAUUUACUAGCCUUUAUUUUGCUAAGGCCCCAGAGUCUGAACAAUCCUUUAAGCUCUAAUUUGGCAGCUGGGGGGAAAAAUGAGCCAGAAAGCAGCUGUUUGUAAGGAUUUCGAAAGCUAAUGAGGCCGAUACGAGCGACAGCAAGUUGCACAGGUAACAGUGUGUCUCCGCCAUUGGCUAGGUGGUGCUGCUACCGGUGGGAUAGUUUCAGGCUCAUGUUCUAUCCUGGUAAAUCUGAUCAAGGAAGGUAGGGGACGAAUCUUACUACAGGCUGCUGACAGGCCUUCAAGUGAUUAAGCUUAUUGCGGUGAUCUUCAAACCGAAGCCCCCUGCGAAGAACUGCCAGGUGGUCUGCACCGCCACAUCUGUCAAAACCGAGCUAACAUCUGCCAGUUCUUCCACAAAGAACUUUCUGUAGUCCAGCCUCAGAUUCCUCAAGAGACCCCCUUUUUUAAAAGCUAUGUGACAGAUAUUACACACACACAAAGCUCUAUAUAAGGAUGCUUUCCACCUCUCCACCUUGUGCAAUUGAUUCCUAUGUGAUGCGGGGGGUGGGAGUGGGGGGGCUUUGCUAGUCCUGUGGAUUUGACAAGGACAUAAAAAUUGCUACAGUCCUGAGGGUCAUUUUUUUUUUCCUGUGAGGUUGCCCAAGGCAGUUUAUUUUAUUUUUUUGCAAGGCUUGCCUUGUGGUUCUUAGCUGCAGGUGCCUGGUGGAGAGGAGAAGCAAGUAUCCCUGUCGGCUCUGCCUUGCUGCAAUUUUUUUUUCCACCAAAAGGGAAGAGAAGAGGAAAAGGUAGAAAUGUGUGUUAUUUGUCACCUUCCUUCCAUCUUCCUACACAAUGCUAUCAGCAUGUUUGAGAUGCUUAUCUGCAAAAGCUUUAAGUUGUCAUCUCCAUGCCGAUCCAGAUCUUUGUUGUGUAUUACAGCUACGCUAUUAUCAGUUGAUUCAAUAUUUCAUCUGCAUGCAAGUCUAGUUGCCUGCUUUCUAUUAUUAUUUUUCUUCUUCUUUACAGUUUUUGGAAAGAAUGUCAUCAAAACUGCCUCGUGCUUGGGAUGCUUAUCUGCAGUAUCACAUUGGCGGUUUUCAGCUGGACGAGAAAAAUCACAAAUAUUCAUCGUGUCCUAGGCACAGGGACACUGCUGCAAUAUUGAAAAAAAAAAAAAAGACUUGUGGAUCAACAGAAAAGGAAAGAUGGAGUAUACUGGGAGAGGGGAGAGCUGUAGGAACAGAAAUUUCAGGCUCAAAAUUACAGGGCAAAGAAGGAAAAACUGAGGAGUGGGGUCAAAAAUGCAGCAGGCUUGCGCGCACAGAUAUAGAAAUAGUAACUGAAACUAGUUACUAUAAGCAAUACUGAAACUAGGCUGGGGGAACAGGAUUCCUAAUACUGUGGAUGCAUCUUGUGGAAGAAUGUAAAAUAGACAAAGGUUGUGUACUACAAAAUAAAAGGGUGGCAAUACACAAUCUUUUCCUUCCAGUAUAGAAUAAUCAACAUAUUUUUCGCUCCAUAAGACACACUUUUCCCCUCCUAAAAUGUAAGGGGAAAUGUGUGUGCAUCUUAUGGAGCGAAUGCAGGCAGCG